GAUGAACGCUGGCGGCGUGCUUAACACAUGCAAGUCGAACGAAGCACUUUAUUUGAUUUCCUUCGGGACUGAUUAUUUUGUGACUGAGUGGCGGACGGGUGAGUAACGCGUGGGUAACCUGCCUUGUACAGGGGGAUAACAGUUGGAAACGGCUGCUAAUACCGCAUAAGCGCACGGCAUCGCAUGAUGCAGUGUGAAAAACUCCGGUGGUAUAAGAUGGACCCGCGUUGGAUUAGCUAGUUGGUGAGGUAACGGCCCACCAAGGCGACGAUCCAUAGCCGACCUGAGAGGGUGACCGGCCACAGUGGGACUGAGACACGGCCCAAACUCCUACGGGAGGCAGCAGUGGGGAAUAUUGCACAAUGGGCGAAAGCCUGAUGCAGCGACGCCGCGUGAGCGAAGAAGUAUUUCGGUAUGUAAAGCGCUAUCAGCAGGGAAGAUAAUGACGGUACCUGACUAAGAAGCACCGGCUAAAUACAUG
rnacentral:rRNA from 1 species